rnacentral:rRNA from 1 species
GGUUAAGCGACUAAGCGUACACGGUGGAUGCCCUGGCAGUCAGAGGCGAUGAAGGACGUGCUAAUCUGCGAUAAGCGUCGGUAAGGUGAUAUGAACCGUUAUAACCGGCGAUUUCCGAAUGGGGAAACCCAGUGUGUUUCGACACACUAUCAUUAACUGAAUCCAUAGGUUAAUGAGGCGAACCGGGGGAACUGAAACAUCUAAGUACCCCGAGGAAAAGAAAUCAACCGAGAUUCCCCCAGUAGCGGCGAGCGAACGGGGAGCAGCCCAGAGCCUGAAUCAGUGUGUGUGUUAGUGGAAGCGUCUGGAAAGGCGCGCGAUACAGGGUGACAGCCCCGUACACAAAAAUGCACAUACUGUGAGCUCGAUGAGUAGGGCGGGACACGUGGUAUCCUGUCUGAAUAUGGGGGGACCAUCCUCCAAGGCUAAAUACUCCUGACUGACCGAUAGUGAACCAGUACCGUGAGGGAAAGGCGAAAAGAACCCCGGCGAGGGGAGUGAAAAAGAACCUGAAACCGUGUACGUACAAGCAGUGGGAGCACGCUUAGGCGUGUGACUGCGUACCUUUUGUAUAAUGGGUCAGCGACUUAUAUUCUGUAGCAAGGUUAACCGAAUAGGGGAGCCGAAGGG